rnacentral:rRNA from 1 species
CCAAAAACCUAGCCCCGCCACACUCCCUAACUAACCCCCACUUAACUAAACAAAUUAAAAUAUUCUAGCGAUCUAGUAAAGAAGAUUGAAAAAUCUCGCAGCGCAAUAACCAGGUACCGCAAGGGAAAGUUGAAAUAGUAAUGAAACAAAUAAAGCACAAGACAGUAGAGAUCCCCCCUUGUACCUUUUGCAUCAUGGUUUAGCCAGUCCCACCAAGCAGAGAGACUUUAAGUUUGACACCCCGAAACUAAGUGAGCUACUCUGAGGCAACCUAAUAGCCAACCCGUCUCUGUUGCAAAAGAGUGGGGAGACCCCAAAGUAGAAGUGACAUGCCUAUCGAACUUAGUAAUAGCUGGUUGCUCAUGAAAAGAAUAUUAGUUCUACCUAAAGUUGCUUGACCACUACCUAAUGCUUGACUUUAGAGUAAUUCAAACAGGGUACAGCCUAUUUGAAACAGGACACAACCUAAGCUGGCGGGUAAUUCAUAUACGCCCAUCAACCAAGUAGGCUUAAAAGCAGCCACCUUAAAAAUGCGUCAAAGCUUAUUUAAUGCACCCCCUCUCCCUCGAACCCAACAAACCCCCUACUAAUAAUGAGCAUUUCUAUAUACUAUAGAAAAUAUAAUGCUAAAACUAGUAACAAGAAGAAACAACUCUUCUCUCUCAUGCAAGUAUAAUCCAGCCUCGGAUAGCCCACUGGCAAUCAACAGCUAUAAACCUUAAUGGAUCCGACCCCCCCCCCCCCAGAAACUCCCAUUAAUAUAUGCUGUUAACCUAACACAAGAGCAUGCCGAGAAAGAUUUAAAGAACGGGAAGGAACUCGGCAAAUUAAAAUCCCGCCUGUUUACCAAAAACAUCGCCUCCUGACUAAACAUAGGAGGUCCAGCCUGCCCAGUGAAUACUUCAACGGCCGCGGUAUACUAACCGUGCAAAGGUAGCACAAUCACUUGUCCUUUAAAUAAGGACCUGUAUGAACGACACCACGAGGAUUUAACUGUCUCCCCCCUCUAAUCCGUGAAACUAACCCCCCUGUGAAAAAGCAGGGAUAGACCUAUAAGACGAGAAGACCCUAUGGAACUUUAAAUAAAUAACACCUGCUUCGCCAUCAAACACCCUAAAUUAUGGCACCUACGAGCAUGCUGAUUAUAAGUUUUAGGUUGGGGUGACCGCGGAGAAAAAUCCACCCUCCGUGACGGGAUGAGCCCAAAUUCAAAAGCAUAAGUUACAACUUUAAAAAUCAGUAAACUGACACUAUUGACCCAAUUUUUUGAUCAACGAAACAAGCUACCCUAGGGAUAACAGCGCAAUCUACUUCGAGAGUACAUAUCAACAAGUAGGCUUACGACCUCGAUGUUGGAUCAGGGUAUCCUAGUGGUGCAGCCGCUACAAAGGUUCGUUUGUUCAACGAUUAAAGCCCUACGUGAUCUGAGUUCAGACCGGAGUAAUCCAGGUCGGUUUCUAUCUAUAAGACGCCACCUCCAGUACGAAAGGACCGAGGAAGCAAGGCCAAUAGAAACCUAAGCCUUACCAGACAAUUUAUGUUUAUACUUAAAAAAUUUUCUAACCAAAACCCCGCCCUAGACAAGAGCA